AGUCGAACGAAAUCUUCGGAUUUAGUGGCGGACGGGUGAGUAACGCGUGAGAAUCUGGCUUCAGGUCUGGGACAACCACUGGAAACGGUGGCUAAUACCGGAUGUGCCGAGAGGUGAAAGGUUAACUGCCUGAAGAUGAGCUCGCGUCUGAUUAGCUAGUUGGWAGAGUAAGAGCCUACCAAGGCGACGAUCAGUAGCUGGUCUGAGAGGACGAUCAGCCACACUGGGACUGAGACACGGCCCAGACUCCUACGGGAGGCAGCAGUGGGGAAUUUUCCGCAAUGGGCGAAAGCCUGACGGAGCAAUACCGCGUGAGGGAGGAAGGCUCUUGGGUCGUAAACCUCUUUUCUCAGGGAAGAACACAAUGACGGUACCUGAGGAAUAAGCAUCGGCUAACUCCGUGCCAGCAGCCGCGGUAAUACGGAGGAUGCAAGCGUUAUCCGGAAUGAUUGGGCGUAAAGCGUCCGCAGGUGGCAAUGUAAGUCUGCUGUUAAAGAGUCUAGCUCAACUAGAUNAGAGCAGUGGAAACUACAUAGCUAGAGUACGUUCGGGGCAGAGGGAAUUCCUGGUGUAGCGGUGAAAUGCGUAGAGAUCAGGAAGAACACCAGUGGCGAAGGCGCUCUGCUAGGCCGUAACUGACACUGAGGGACGAAAGCUAGGGGAGCGAAUGGGAUUAGAUACCCCAGUAGUCCUAGCCGUAAACGAUGGAUACUAGGCGUGGCUUGUAUCGACCCGAGCCGUGCCGUAGCUAACGCGUUAAGUAUCCCGCCUGGGGAGUACGCCGGCMACGGUGAAACUCAAAGGAAUUGACGGGGGCCCGCACAAGCGGUGGAGUAUGUGGUUUAAUUCGAUGCAACGCGRAGAACCUUACCAAGGCUUGACAUGUCGCGAAUCCYGGUGAAA
rnacentral:rRNA from 1 species